GUCCUAGAGAGCAGGCUGCAGCGGGAGGAAGCUCCUGUACCCUUCUGAGUCCAGAGCAGCACAGCUCCACAUCACUUCUCCAGCUGUACAUCCUCUUUGGGGACCAAGGAGGCAGGAAGAAAAAGGAAAAGAACCCAUCAGUUUGUUUUCGCCUCGGCAAUCUGCGCAAGUGUUGAACCUUCCACCUGGAUGAGGGAAAGCGGAGAUGGGGGAUGAGGGAGUCCUAGGGAUGGAAUGCAAGAGACUCCUCGGCCUGGCCACCUGCUUUUCCUAAAAGGAACAACAACAACAACAACAAAUGGUAGAAAUUUCCAGAAGUCCUUACUCAGGCCACUGCAAAUGCCAAUCUUUAACCUUUCCCCUAAACCUGCUGGCUUAAGAGAACAGGAAGAAAGGGGAACCCCGUUGGGCUAAUCUGUGGGCCUGCACUGAGGAUCCUACC
rnacentral:lncRNA from 1 species